UAGAGAUAGCUGGUUAUUUGAGAAACGGAUAUUAGUCCAACUUAAAAUUUUUAAAUGCUCUCCACAACAAACUAAUAAAUUUUAAAUUUAUUCAAAUAAGGUACAGCCUAUUUGAAAAAGGAUACAACCUUUAACAGAGGGUAAUGUUUAAACAUAUGAAUUAAGUGGGCCUAAAAGCAGCCACCUUUAAAAAAGCGUUAAAGCUUCAUCACACGAUAAUAUAAAUACCAAUCAAAAUACAAAACCCCUUAUCCAUAUUAAAUGACCCCAUAAUCAUAUGGUAAACUUUAUGUCUGAACUAGUAACAAGAAUAACUUCUCCAUAAACGUAAGUGUAAGCCAGAAUGAACCCCUCACCGGCACUUAUCGCCUAUAAACUCACAGUAACAACUAACCAAGAAAACCCUACUAACCAGAGCGUUAAUCUUACACCAGAACGACCCAGGAAAGAUUAAAAACGGAGGAAGGAACUCGGCAAAUACUAACCCCGCCUGUUUACCAA
rnacentral:rRNA from 1 species